UGUGUGUGUGUGUGUGUGUGUGUGUGUGUGUGUGUGUGUGUGUGUGUGUGUGUGUGUGUGUGUCACACCUGGCAUGGGGUUCUACGUGCCUGUCCUGGGUCCUAUGUGUGUGUGUCCGGCUUGCUUUGACAGUGAUAAUGUUGGGUCUGUGUGAUUGGUGUGGGAUAUUGGAAUGAUCAACUAAAUCAUACCUGCUGGACGGCCACAUGUUUACUUGAGGGCCUCCAGUAGACAUGAAGAGCCCUGAGUGACACUCCGGAGCGAGAUCCAACACACUGGGCAGGAAGGAGAGUAUCCAACUCAAGUGUAAAAGGAUGCAAGCGGCGUGUUCAGAUCAGCGACUUCAAACUAGGACUACACCAAUCAGGAUCAAUGGAGGAUGGACACCUAAAGGCAUUCCACAAGGAGACUCUGAAGUUGGAAAGGGACCUCAAUGGAUGUUCAAGAUGACCUUCAGACCUGUAAUGAGGCGGAUCUUCCUACCUGGCUGGAUUGAUGGAGAGCCCUGUGGAUCUUGUCUUGCUCUCAGUUGCACGUCUUCUCAGGCUGAACUGUAAUUGUUUCGGACAGGACUAGCUGAACAAUUGGUUCCCUUAAAUCAGAACCAAUCGGGGAACUCCAGCUAGUGCGCUCUUCGAGCUGAAGUUGUGCUCUUCAGUUGAGGCGGUAAGGAAACCUUCACUGGGGCUUCAAGGUGUAAAGAGGAGGAUGUUUCAAAGUGUUCCAUGGUACUCUGAUGAAGUCCGUUGUUGUGUUCCACUGGCUGCGAGGAAGAACCCACACAUCUUCCUCUUGGCCUUUCUCCUCUGAGAAUCCUGGCGCCAUCUAGAAGGAUAUUCCAGCUCAUGUAACUGAUGUCACGACAGAUUCUCAAACACUUGGUUUCUCCUGAGGGGCGCGUCUAUGGAACUGAAGACAUCAGACAGCACUGUAUCCCAGCAUGCAUCUCUGCUCACUCAGACCACACCCCCAUGAGUAGGAUGCAACACUCUAGUGAUGGAGAUGUAGAGUUUUAUAAGUAACGAUGGAGCAGACUAAGGUGAUUUAGAACACAAUGUAAUGUGAAGUCUGUAAAUCUUUAAGCCAUGACGAUGGUUGGAUAGUUCAGGAAUUGGGCUUCUUUUUAUUAUGGGCAGUGUUGGCUGGCAUGAUUUGCUGUUGGUGAUGAGGCGGUCAGGGUGACGUUGCAGGGCUAUGGUCGGCUCUCUGUGAGCUCAACGUUUAGAUUUGCUCUGUAUGGUUUGUACCCUGAAUAAUCUAGAUAAUUGUAAAAUGUAGACACGGAUUUGUAUUGAAUGAUUCCUGGAUUUUAGGUUUAAAGUUGUUGUGGGACGUACAUGGUAGUUUGGUUCUUCGUAUGGUUUUGAGUGAUAUAACUUGUACACACUGGGUGCAUAAUAAUGUAAAGGUACAUUUAAUUGUAUUAAUGACCAACAGCAACAAACAGAUCUCCUCAAGGUAAGUCUGUUGGCUGUAUUUUAAUGAAGACCAUCGCUGGACUUCAGGAUCUUCCUCCGUUCAGCUCAAGGUGAGGCGCUGGUUCUGUUUUUUCUUUGGUUGGUUCCGGCCGGAAUGUUCGUAUUCCAGUCGGACGGUUUGUGCUUCCCGCCGUGGAAGGUUCUGAGUGCGGUCACUUGAUUUAGUCCCAAUGGUUAGCAUAGAACGUUGUAGUCGGUUUCCAUUGGGAAUUGUUGCCCCCUAUCUUAAACAACUAAAGUUUGAUAUUAAAUACAUACUGAGACAUACGUCGUACAAUAUGUUGAUAAUUCCGAUGGUUGCGCCGUACUUUUAACCACGGCGACGUUGCGGGACUCUCACUGCGUUCAAAACAGCGUUCUACUUGCGGGCCCAUUUUUGACAUCGGAAGGCUGAAAAUCAUUUCAAGGUGGAAGAUAAUUUGACAUUUCUUCAACGGAACCCAGCACCUGAAUAUGGCUGAGUAUAUUUGAUUUAAUAUCGAUACUGCUUAGUGUUCUUUGUUACUUCAGCUUUUGUACGUUCUAAUUAUCUGCUAUCAUUAAUUGCCACAGAAGUUAAACCCUACCCAAUGGAAUGACGUUAAACAACGACUUUGGUGCAGAGUUACCAACUGGAUAAUAUCAAAGCUAAAACAAUGGCCGUCAUUCCCACAUGAUACAGUAGAAGAUACUCUAGAACUGUACAAGGUUAAAAAGGUAACAUGUAGUUUGUCCCAAGGUGUCUGCCUCCUCCACCAGAGCCAGACCUCCACCUGCUCAGCCAGAGCCAGACUUCCACCUCCUCACCCAGAGCCAGACCUCCACCUCCUCACCCAGAGCCAGACCUCCACCUCCGGUCAGAAGUCCUCCAGAACAGCUGAAAGGCGAGGCUGAGAGUCUGGGGACCGGAGGCUUGUGGUGCCAGGGUGGACCGGAGACUGAGGCUGGAGACCAGGGGCCUGCAGCACCGGACCAGAGGACCAGGAUUCCAUGGCUGAAGGCGCUGAUGGAGGAGCCGUGCGGAAGGAGCUGAUGGAGGAGCCGUGCGGAAGGAGCUGAUGGAGUAGUCGUGCUGAAGGCCCUGCCUUGUGGAGGAGCUGGUGGAGGCCCUGCCUGCUGAAUGACGUCUGUCGUGGGACCAGGACUCUGUCUGAGGAGAGCUGCUGGAGGAGCUGAGACGCUGGAGGACGACUAGGAAUCAACCAACAAGGAUUCCUCAACGUGUUUCUGGCGCGGAGGGGAGCUGGUAGGGGAGCCGUGAAUCUGGAGGAUGACCAUCACUCUACCAACAAGGAUUGGAAGUUUGUAUUGACCUAACAAAGUGGAAACAAAGGGCUUUAAAAUAAGACAAACUACAUAUUUGUUUCCAGACGUUGGGGCCGGACUUGCGCUGUUUGUUCCAGACCAGGACUCUCGCUGAGGAGAGCUGAUGGAGGAGCCAAGACUCUGGAGGACGACAUCACACCAACCAGGAUCCUCACCAGGAAUCUGGAGGACUGAUGGAGAAGCCGUACAUCUGGAAGGCAAAUCCUGAGGACCACCAGGACUCUACCAUCAAGGAUUCCUCAUAAAUGUGCAUUAUCUGGACAUAGUGGACUAGACACACCUGAGCUGAACCUCACCUGAUCCUGUUUGGUCGGGGGUAGACCCACCUGAGCUAAACCCGCCCUGAUCCUGACAUCCUGCUGGUCCCGUCUCCUCAGUUCAUCUGAGCCUCGUCCUCCAGAAGACCUGCUGAGCUCAGCAGUCUGAGGCUGAUGGAUCACUGACCUCCAGUGGGAGUGAUCUUCUUGACCCCCCCCCCAUCUAACCGUGUGCUUCCACACGCCUUUCCCUCACGUCUGUCACUAACCUCACUACUUCACUACUCUCUGCUUCCUCUUUUCUUCCUUCUCUGUGGUUCGAACCUUUACACGGAAGGCGCGUCUUCCUGCCCUCAGAGGGUUCAGCGUUAGGGUUGAGAGUCAGGGUUUAGAGUCAGGGACAGAGCUGGUCAGGGAGGACUGCUUUUACACAAACCUCUUCACUUGCUUUCGGAAUGGUGGUGACAUUUUAAAAAGAUUCAUUUGGGGAAAUGUUUUCCUCUGCUUUCCUUUACAAAUUGUAUUAAGCUUCUGUCAAGUGUUUUUGUUUUUAUAUUAAAAUCCCUAAUUGACUAUACAUGUUUUUUGCGGUUCAUUUAAUGGUCCUUUAACUUGGUUAAUGUCAAGCUAAACUCCUGCAAUACAUUUAAUAUACAUGAUUGUUAUUCUGCAAUGUUCACAUAAUCCAUUUCGUAAAAAUAUGAAACCUCCAUAUUACUACUAAAUUCAAGCCUAUUCAUGUAUUUAACAAUGUACAUACUGCCCCGCUAUGGAGGUAGAUUUGUGUCUUUAUUAUGCAAUCAAAAAUAAUAGGUUUGAGAGCAAAACUAUCGACACUGCAAUCAAAAAUUGUUUUAUUGCAAGAUAAAUUAAUUUGAUAAAAAAAUUAUUAAUGGGAAUCCAAUAGUUUUGUUUGCAAAUUCAAAAGUUUUGUUUGCAAAUCCAAAAGCUUUGCUUGCUGUUGAGCUGAAUCUCGUGGGCGGGACCUACGCCGAAAGAUGUAAGACACGUCUCUAUUGGCCUGUCUCGAUCGGAGUGACAGCUUGGCAACAUCCACAGUUAGUAACGAGAGAGGGAGUUUUGAAGUCCAUGAUGAGACAGUGGGAAUCGGGAGCUCCCUCUCUCGUUACUAUUUUCGUUGUUUGAGUACA